UGAAGAGUUUGAUCAUGGCUCAGAUUGAACGCUGGCGGCAGGCCUAACACAUGCAAGUCGAACGGUAACAGGAAGCAGCUUGCUGCUUUGCUGACGAGUGGCGGACGGGUGAGUAAUGUCUGGGAAACUGCCUGAUGGAGGGGGAUAACUACUGGAAACGGUGGCUAAUACCGCAUAACGUCGCAAGACCAAAGAGGGGGACCUUCGGGCCUCUUGCCAUCAGAUGUGCCCAGAUGGGAUUAGCUUGUUGGUGAGGUAACGGCUCACCAAGGCGACGAUCCCUAGCUGGUCUGAGAGGAUGACCAGCCACACUGGAACUGAGACACGGUCCAGACUCCUACGGGAGGCAGCAGUGGGGAAUAUUGCACAAUGGGCGCAAGCCUGAUGCAGCCAUGCCGCGUGUAUGAAGAAGGCCUUCGGGUUGUAAAGUACUUUCAGCGGGGAGGAAGGUGUUGUGGUUAAUAACCGCAGCAAUUGACGUUACCCGCAGAAGAAGCACCGGCUAACUCCGUGCCAGCAGCCGCGGUAAUACGGAGGGUGCAAGCGUUAAUCGGAAUUACUGGGCGUAAAGCGCACGCAGGCGGUCUGUCAAGUCGGAUGUGAAAUCCCCGGGCUCAACCUGGGAACUGCAUUCGAAACUGGCAGGCUUGAGUCUUGUAGAGGGGGGUAGAAUUCCAGGUGUAGCGGUGAAAUGCGUAGAGAUCUGGAGGAAUACCGGUGGCGAAGGCGGCCCCCUGGACAAAGACUGACGCUCAGGUGCGAAAGCGUGGGGAGCAAACAGGAUUAGAUACCCUGGUAGUCCACGCCGUAAACGAUGUCUACUUGGAGGUUGUGCCCUUGAGGCGUGGCUUCCGGAGCUAACGCGUUAAGUAGACCGCCUGGGGAGUACGGCCGCAAGGUUAAAACUCAAAUGAAUUGACGGGGGCCCGCACAAGCGGUGGAGCAUGUGGUUUAAUUCGAUGCAACGCGAAGAACCUUACCUGGUCUUGACAUCCACAGAACUUUCCAGAGAUGGAUUGGUGCCUUCGGGAACUGUGAGACAGGUGCUGCAUGGCUGUCGUCAGCUCGUGUUGUGAAAUGUUGGGUUAAGUCCCGCAACGAGCGCAACCCUUAUCCUUUGUUGCCAGCGGUC
rnacentral:rRNA from 1 species